rnacentral:lncRNA from 13 species
UCGUCUGCUUUUGCAGGUCAAGUCACUUAAGGAAGAUUGACAGAAGGACACAUACCAAGAAAGUCGGGGAGGAAAUUACAUGAUGUGUGAGAUUUGCUAUAAAAUCAUGAGAGGAAGAGGAGAAGCAUGUAGGAGUAUACAUGUAAUGAGAUUGGCCAUCAGCAUCAUUUCAGGAUGAGUAUUUUGUGUCAAGUGGUUUCAAGGAACAGUGUAAAGGAUCCAUGGCCUCAGUCACCAUGAAGACCCUCCCAAGAGCCAACCGUCCUGGGCCCAUAUAAAUGAAUGGAGACAUGGAAGUCACCCUUACAAGACCUAGAACCUGACAGAGCAUACAAGACAGAAGCCCAAAUAACUAAGAACAGGAAGCUAAAGUCCCCUUGUAGGUCACUCAUGGGGAACUGCCUAGACCCUGGGUCUUGUACCUCGUGCCAGCAGGGAGUGGCGCCGUCUUGUGAAUGUGAGACUCAGUCUGCGGCAGCUGCAGCACCAGCAUCCACCACUGCAGAGCCUGCCGUGUUACAUGCCAGAGUGGCGCAGGUCCAGCAUGUGCAGCCCAUCAAGUCAAAGCGGCGCAAAGCCCCAUCAGGAUGGUAUUGCUACUCCAUUGACACAACACAGGAAGUUCUAUUUUGUAAUGAAGCUUAG